rnacentral:rRNA from 1 species
GAUGAACGCUGGCGGCGUGCCUAAUACAUGCAAGUCGAGCGAACAGACGAGGAGCUUGCUCCUCUGACGUUAGCGGCGGACGGGUGAGUAACACGUGGAUAACCUACCUAUAAGACUGGGAUAACUUCGGGAAACCGGAGCUAAUACCGGAUAAUAUAUUGAACCGCAUGGUUCAAUAGUGAAAGACGGUUUUGCUGUCACUUAUAGAUGGAUCCGCGCCGCAUUAGCUAGUUGGUAAGGUAACGGCUUACCAAGGCAACGAUACGUAGCCGACCUGAGAGGGUGAUAGGCCACACUGGAACUGAGACACGGUCCAGACUCCUACGGGAGGCAGCAGUAGGGAAUCUUACGCAAUGGGCGAAAGCCUGACGGAGCAACGCCGCGUGAGUGAUGAAGGUCUUCGGAUCGUAAAACUCUGUUAUUAGGGAAGAACAAACGUGUAAGUAACUGUGCACGUCUUGACGGUACCUAAUCAGAAAGCCACGGCUAACUACGUG